rnacentral:rRNA from 1 species
UACGUAGGUGGCGAGCGUUGUCCGGAUUUACUGGGCGUAAAGGGUGCGUAGGCGGAUGUUUAAGUGGGAUGUGAAAUCCCCGGGCUUAACCUGGGGGCUGCAUUCCAAACUGGAUAUCUAGAGUGCAGGAGAGGAAAGCGGAAUUCCUAGUGUAGCGGUGAAAUGCGUAGAGAUUAGGAAGAACACCAGUGGCGAAGGCGGCUUUCUGGACUGUAACUGACGCUGAGGCACGAAAGCGUGGGUAGCAAAC